rnacentral:rRNA from 1 species
AACAGGAUUAGAUACCCUGGUAGUCCACGCCGUAAACGAUGUCGACUUGGAGGCUGUUCCCCUGAGGAGUGGCUUCCGGAGCUAACGCGUUAAGUCGACCGCCUGGGGAGUACGGCCGCAAGGUUAAAACUCAAAUGAAUUGACGGGGGCCCGCACAAGCGGUGGAGCAUGUGGUUUAAUUCGAUGCAACGCGAAGAACCUUACCUACUCUUGACAUCCAGAGAACUUUCCAGAGAUGGAUUGGUGCCUUCGGGAACUCUGAGACAGGUGCUGCAUGGCUGUCGUCAGCUCGUGUUGUGAAAUGUUGGGUUAAGUCCCGCAACGAGCGCAACCCUUAUCCUUUGUUGCCAGCGAUUCGGUCGGGAACUCAAAGGAGACUGCCGGUGAUAAACCGGAGGAAGGUGGGGAUGACGUCAAGUCAUCAUGGCCCUUACGAGUAGGGCUACACACGUGCUACAAUGGCGCAUACAAAGAGAAGCGACCUCGCGAGAGCAAGCGGACCUCAUAAAGUGCGUCGUAGUCCGGAUCGGAGUCUGCAACUCGACUCCGUGAAGUCGGAAUCGCUAGUAAUCGUGGAUCAGAAUGCCACGGUGAAUACGUUCCCGGGCCUUGUACACACCGCCCGUCACACCAUGGGAGUGGGUUGCAAAAGAAGUAGGUAGCUUAACCUUCGGGAGGGCGCUUACCACUUUGUGAUUCAUGACUGGGGUGAAGUCGUAACAAGGUAGC